GAUGAACGCUGGCGGCGUGCUUAACACAUGCAAGUCGAACGAUGAACCGGAUGCUUGCACUCGGGGAUUAGUGGCGAACGGGUGAGUAACACGUGAGCAACCUGCCCCUGACUCUGGGAUAAGCGCUGGGAACGGCGUCUAAUACUGGAUAUGUCCCGUCACCGCAUGGUGUGCGGGUGGAAAGAUUUUUCGGUUGGGGAUGGGCUCGCGGCCUAUCAGCUUGUUGGUGAGGUAAUGGCUCACCAAGGCGUCGACGGGUAGCCGGCCUGAGAGGGUGACCGGCCAGACUGGGACUGAGACACGGCCCAGACUCCUGCGGGAGGCAGCAGUGGGGAAUAUUGCACGAUGGGCGGAAGCCUGAUGCAGCAACGCCGCGUGAGGGAUGACGGCCUUCGGGUUGUAAACCUCUUUUAGCAGGGAAGAAGCGAGAGUGACGGUACCUGCAGAAAAAGCACCGGCUAACUACGUGCCAGCAGCCGCAGUAAUAC
rnacentral:rRNA from 1 species